rnacentral:rRNA from 1 species
CCUACGGGAGGCAGCAGUGAGGAAUAUUGGUCUAUGGCCGGGAGGCUGAACCAGCCAAGUCGCGUGAGGGAAGACAGCCCUACGGGUUGUAAACCUCUUUUGCCAGGGAGCAAGAGGCAGGACGGGACCUGCUGUGAGAGUACCUGGAGAAAAAGCAUCGGCUAACUCCGUGCCAGCAGCCGCGGUAAUACGGAGGAUGCGAGCGUUAUCCGGAUUUAUUGGGUUUAAAGGGUGCGCAGGCGGAGGCACAAGCCAGCGGUAAAAUCGCGGGGCGCAACCCCGCUCCGCCGUUGAAACUGUGUCCCUUGAGUGCGCGAAGGGCAGGCGGAAUUCGUGGUGUAGCGGUGAAAUGCUUAGAUAUCACGAAGAACCCCGAUUGCGAAGGCAGCUUACUAAACUGUGACUGACAUUGAGGCUCGAAAGUGUGGGUAUCAAACAGGAUUAGAUACCCUUGUAGUC